rnacentral:rRNA from 1 species
CACGAAGUUAGCCGGUGCUUAUUCUUCCGGUACCGUCAUCACCCCCGGGUAUUAACCGAAGGCUUUUCUUUCCGGACAAAAGAGCUUUACAACCCGAAGGCCUUCUUCACUCACGCGGCAUGGCUGGAUCAGGCUUGCGCCCAUUGUCCAAUAUUCCCCA